rnacentral:rRNA from 1 species
GAUGAACGCUGGCGGCGUGCCUAAUACAUGCAAGUCGAGCGAACAGACGAGGAGCUUGCUCCUCUGACGUUAGCGGCGGACGGGUGAGUAACACGUGGAUAACCUACCUAUAAGACUGGGAUAACUUCGGGAAACCGGAGCUAAUACCGGAUAAUAUAUUGAACCGCAUGGUUCAAUAGUGAAAGACGGUUUUGCUGUCACUUAUAGAUGGAUCCGCGCCGCAUUAGCUAGUUGGUAAGGUAACGGCUUACCAAGGCAACGAUGCGUAGCCGACCUGAGAGGGGGAUCGGCCACACUGGAACUGAGACACGGUCCAGACUCCUACGGGAGGCAGCAGUAGGGAAUCUUCCGCAAUGGGCGAAAGCCUGACGGAGCAGCGCCGCGUGAGUGAUGAAGGUCUUCGGAUCGUAAAACUCGGUUAUUAGGGAAGAACAAAUGUGUAAGUAACUAUGCACGUCUUGACGGUACCUAAUCAGAAAGCCACGGCUAACUACGUG